GGCAUCGGCUACGCUCUAUACCCUUUGUGACAUACCUACAACUGUUGCUUCGGCGGGUAGGCCGUCCCCUGAAAAGGACGCCUCCCGGCCCGGACCGGACCCCCUGUGGGGCCGGACUCGGCGCCCGCCGGAGGAUAACCAAACGCUAUUUUAACGACGUUUCUUCUGAGUGGCAUAAGCAAAAUAAUCAAAACUUUUAACAACGGAUCUCUUGGUUCUGGCAUCGAUGAAGAACGCAGCGAAAUGCGAUAAGUAAUGUGAAUUGCAGAAUUCAGUGAAUCAUCGAAUCUUUGAACGCACAUUGCGCCCGCCAGCAUUCUGGCGGGCAUGCCUGUUCGAGCGUCAUUUCAACCCUCAAGCUCUGCUUGGUGUUGGGGCUCUACGGUCGACGUAGGCCCUCAAAGGUAGUGGCGGACCCUCCCGGAGCCUCCUUUGCGUAGUAACAUUUCGUCUCGCACUGGGAUCCGGAGGGACUCUUGCCGUAAAACCCCCCAAUUUUUCAAGGUUGACCUCGGAUCAGGUAGGAAUACCCGCUGAACUUAAGCAUAUCAAUAAGCGGAGGAA
rnacentral:rRNA from 1 species